UUGAAACACCAGUCCCCAUACGAUCACCGAAGUUAAGCAACAUCGAGCUUUGUCAGUACCUAGAUGGGUGAUCGUUUGGGAAUAGCAGGUGUUGUAA